rnacentral:rRNA from 1 species
UGCAGUCGAACGGUAGCACAGAGGAGCUUGCUCCUUGGGUGACGAGUGGCGGACGGGUGAGUAAUGUCUGGGAAACUGCCCGAUGGAGGGGGAUAACUACUGGAAACGGUAGCUAAUACCGCAUAACGUCGCAAGACCAAAGAGGGGGACCUUCGGGCCUCUUGCCAUCGGAUGUGCCCAGAUGGGAUUAGCUAGUAGGUGGGGUAACGGCUCACCUAGGCGACGAUCCCUAGCUGGUCUGAGAGGAUGACCAGCCACACUGGAACUGAGACACGGUCCAGACUCCUACGGGAGGCAGCAGUGGGGAAUAUUGCACAAUGGGCGCAAGCCUGAUGCAGCCAUGCCGCGUGUAUGAAGAAGGCCUUCGGGUUGUAAAGUACUUUCAGCGAGGAGGAAGGUGUUGUGGUUAAUAACCGCAGCAAUUGACGUUACUCGCAGAAGAAGCACCGGCUAACUCCGUGCCAGCAGCCGCGGUAAUACGGAGGGUGCAAGCGUUAAUCGGAAUUACUGGGCGUAAAGCGCACGCAGGCGGUCUGUCAAGUCGGAUGUGAAAUCCCCGGGCUCAACCUGGGAACUGCAUCCGAAACUGGCAGGCUAGAGUCUUGUAGAGGGGGGUAGAAUUCCAGGUGUAGCGGUGAAAUGCGUASAGAU